rnacentral:rRNA from 1 species
ACUAGCAGUAAGAGUUUGAUCCUGGCUCAGAACGAACGCUGGCGGCAGGCUUAACACAUGCAAGUCGAACGCAUCCUUCGGGGUGAGUGGCAGACGGGUGAGUAACGCGUGGGAAUCCUGCCCUUGGGUUCGGAACAACAGUUGGAAACGACUGCUAAUACCGGAUGAUGACUUCGGUCCAAAGAUUUAUCGCCCAAGGAUGAGCCCGCGUAGGAUUAGCUUGUUGGUGAGGUAAAAGCUCACCAAGGCGACGAUCCUUAGCUGGUCUGAGAGGAUGAUCAGCCACACUGGGACUGAGACACGGCCCAGACUCUUACGGGAGGCAGCAGUGGGGAAUAUUGGACAAUGGGCGAAAGCCUGAUCCAGCAAUGCCGCGUGAGUGAUGAAGGCCUUAGGGUUGUAAAGCUCUUUUACCCGGGAAGAUAAUGACUGUACCGGGAGAAUAAGCCCCGGCUAACUCCGUGCCAGCCGCCGCGGUAAUUC